AUGUAGGACAAUCUGUCUUUAGGUAGGGAUAAAUUACUUGUACAGUUUAAAAAAAAAAAAAGGAAUCCUACAUAGUUUUCCCUUCAAGUCAAGCAUCUUUC
rnacentral:pre_miRNA from 1 species